CCAGUCGAGCGCUCACUUCGGUGGGAGCGGCGGACGGGUUAGUAACGCGUGGGAACAUACCCUUCUCUACGGAAUAGCCUUUGGAAACGAAGAGUAAUACCGUAUACGCCCUUUGGGGGAAAGAUUUAUCGGAGAUGGAUUGGCCCGCGUUAGAUUAGAUAGUUGGUGGGGUAAUGGCCUACCAAGUCUACCAUCUAUAGCUGGUUUUAGAGGACGAUCAGCAACACUGGGACUGAGACACGGCCCASACUCCUACGGGAGGCAGCAGUGGGGAAUCUUAGACAAUGGGCGCAAGCCUGAUCUAGCCAUGCCGCGUGAGUGAUGAAGGCCCUAGGGUCGUAAAGCUCUUUCGCCAGGGAUGAUAAUGACAGUACCUGGUAAAGAAACCCCGGCUAACUCCGUGCCAGCAGCCGCGGUAAUACGGAGGGGGUUAGCGUUGUUCGGAAUUACUGGGCGUAAAGCGCACGUAGGCGGAUCAGAAAGUUAGGGGUGAAAUCCCGAGGCUCAACCUCGGAACUGCCUCUAAAACUCCUGGUCUUGAGUUCGAGAGAGGUGAGUGGAAUUCCAAGUGUAGAGGUGAAAUUCGUAGAUAUUUGGAGGAACACCAGUGGCGAAGGCGGCUCACUGGCUCGAUACUGACGCUGAGGUGCGAAAGUGUGGGGAGCAAACAGGAUUAGAUACCCUGGUAGUCCACACCGUAAACGAUGAAUGCCAGUCGUCGGGCAGUAUACUGUUCGGUGACACACCUAACGGAUUAAUCCG
rnacentral:rRNA from 1 species